CCUACGGGAGGCAGCAGUGGGGAAUUUUGGACAAUGGGCGCAAGCCUGAUCCAGCCAUGCCGCGUGUGGGAAGAAGGCCUUCGGGUUGUAAACCACUUUUGUCAGGGAAGAAACGGUCUGAACUAAUACUUUGGACUAAUGACGGUACCUGAAGAAUAAGCACCGGCUAACUACGUGCCAGCAGCCGCGGUAAUACGUAGGGUGCAAGCGUUAAUCGGAAUUACUGGGCGUAAAGCGUGCGCAGGCGGCUUUGCAAGACAGAUGUGAAAUCCCCGGGCUCAACCUGGGAACUGCAUUUGUGACUGCAUGGCUAGAGUACGGUAGAGGGGGAUGGAAUUCCGCGUGUAGCAGUGAAAUGCGUAGAUAUGCGGAGGAACGCCGAUGGCGAAGGCAAUCCCCUGGACCUGUACUGACGCUCAUGCACGAAAGCGUGGGGAGCAAACAGGAUUAGAUACCCUGGUAGUCCACGCCCUAAACGAUGUCAACUGGUUGUUGGGAGGGUUUCUUCUCAGUAACGAAGCUAACGCGUGAAGUUGACCGCCUGGGGAGUACGGCCGCAAGGUUGAAACUCAAAUGAAAUUGACGG
rnacentral:rRNA from 1 species